rnacentral:rRNA from 1 species
UACGUAGGGUGCAAGCGUUGUCCGGAAUUAUUGGGCGUAAAGAGCUCGUAGGCGGUUUGUCGCGUCGGCUGUGAAAUCCCGAGGCUCAACCUCGGGCCUGCAGUCGAUACGGGCAAACUAGAGUGUGGUAGGGGAGACUGGAAUUCCUGGUGUAGCGGUGAAAUGCGCAGAUAUCAGGAGGAACACCGGCGGCGAAGGCGGUUCUCUGGGCAUUACCUGACGCUGAGGAGCGAAAGUGUGGGGAGCGAACAGG